rnacentral:SRP_RNA from 1 species
GCCGGGCAUGGUGGCACAUGCCUGUAGUCCCAGCUACUCGGAGGCUGAGGCUGGAGGAUUGCUUGAGCCCAGGAGUUCUGGGCUGUAGUGUGCUAUGCUGAUCGGGUGUCCGCACUAAGUUCGGCAUCAAUAUGGUGGCCUCCCAGAAGCAGGGGACCACCAGGUUGCCUAAGGAUGGGUGAACCGGCCCAGGUCGGAAACGGAGCAGGUCAAAACUCCCGUGCUGAUCGGUAGUGGGAUCGCGCCUGCGAACAGCCACUGCACUCCAGCCUAGGCAACAUAACGAGACCCUGUCUCU